rnacentral:rRNA from 1 species
AGUGAACGCUGGCGGUAGGCCUAACACAUGCAAGUCGAACGGCAGCACAGUAAGAGCUUGCUCUUACGGGUGGCGAGUGGCGGACGGGUGAGGAAUACAUCGGAAUCUACUUUUUCGUGGGGGAUAACGUAGGGAAACUUACGCUAAUACCGCAUACGACCUACGGGUGAAAGCAGGGGAUCUUCGGACCUUGCGCGAUUGAAUGAGCCGAUGUCGGAUUAGCUAGUUGGCGGGGUAAAGGCCCACCAAGGCGACGAUCCGUAGCUGGUCUGAGAGGAUGAUCAGCCACACUGGAACUGAGACACGGUCCAGGCUCCUACGGGAGGCAGCAGUGGGGAAUAUUGGACAAUGGGCGCAAGCCUGAUCCAGCCAUACCGCGGGGGUGAAGAAGGCCUUCGGGUUGUAAAGCCCUUUUGUUGGGAAAGAAAAGCAGCAGGUUAAUACCCCGCUGUUCUGACGGUACCCAAAGAAUAAGCACCGGCUAACUUCGU